rnacentral:rRNA from 1 species
GACGAACGCUGGCGGCGUGCCUAAUACAUGCAAGUCGUGCGGACCUUUUAAAAGCUUGCUUUUAAAAGGUUAGCGGCGGACGGGUGAGUAACACGUGGGCAACCUGCCUGUAAGACUGGGAUAACGCCGGGAAACCGGGGCUAAUACCAGAUCGUUUUUUCCUCCGCAUGGAGGAAAAAGGAAAGGCGGCUUCGGCUGCCACUUACAGAUGGGCCCGCGGCGCAUUAGCUAGUUGGCGGGGUAACGGCCCACCAAGGCAACGAUGCGUAGCCGACCUGAGGGGGUGAUCGGCCACAUUGGGACUGAGACACGGCCCAAACGCCUACGGGAGGCAGCAGUAGGGAAUCUUCCGCAAUGGACGAAAGUCUGACGGAGCAACGCCGCGUGAGUGAAGAAGGCCUUCGGGUCGUAAAACUCUGUUGCCGGGGAAGAACAAGUGCCGUUCGAACAGGGCGGCGCCUUGACGGUACCCGGCCAGAAAGCCACGGCUAACUACGUG